AACGGGUGAGUAAUAUAUCGGAACGUGGCCCAGUCGUGGGGGAGUAACGUAGCGAAAGUUACGCUAAUACCGCAUACGAUCUAAGGAUGAAAGCGGGGGAUCGCAAGACCUCGCGCGAUUGGAGCGGCCGAUAUCAGAUUAGGUAGUUGGUGGGGUAAAGGCUCACCAAGCCAACGAUCUGUAGCUGGUCUGAGAGGACGACCAGCCACACUGGAACUGAGACACGGUCCAGACUCCUACGGGAGGCAGCAGUGGGGAAUUUUGGACAAUGGACGCAAGUCUGAUCCAGCCAUUCCGCGUGCAGGAUGAAGGCCCUCGGGUUGUAAACUGCUUUGUACGGAACGAAAAGGUUUCUCUUAAUACGAGGAGCUCAUGACGGUACCGUAAGAAUAAGCACCGGCUAACUACGUG
rnacentral:rRNA from 1 species